rnacentral:tRNA from 1 species
AGGCAUGUAGCUCAGUGAUGGAGUACAUGCUUAGCAUGCACAAGGUCCUGGGUUCAAUUCCCAGCACCUCCA